CUAGGCUGAAGUCCGCUGGAUAGGGUAUUUAGUUGUUAACUAAAGUUUUACGGGAUCAAGGCCCGUCAGUCUAGG
rnacentral:tRNA from 1 species